rnacentral:snRNA from 1 species
GGAUGUGAGGGCGAUCUGGCUGCGACAUCUGUCACCCCAUUGAUUGCCAGGGUUGAUUCGGCUGAUCUGGCUGGCUAGGCGGGUGUCCCCUUCCUCCCUCACCAAUCCAUGUGCGUCCCUCCCGAAGCUGCGCGCUCGGUCGAAGAGGACGGCCUUCCCCGAAUAGAGAAGGACCGGUCUUCGGUCGAGGGUAUAUGAGUAGCUGCGCUCCCCUGCUAGAACCUCCAAACAAGCUCUCAAGAAAUACAUAAACCUCUUGAUUUAUAUUUAAUCUAUAAAAAAGUAUCCUUUAAUAAAUAGUUGGAAUAAUUAUU